UGCCAUCGAGGGGGAAGCCGUCGGGUCGUACAGAGGGAGAGAGAGAGAAAGCACGAGGAGCAGAGGAAAGAAGGGAGACCCGCGCCCAGCCACCGCCGCUUCUGUCGCCAAGAAACCCCGCUGCCUUCGCCGGGAAACACUAUCGGUCACCGCUGCCGCUUAAGGUGGCUGCCGGGCUGCCGCUGAACCGGUUCAGAGGCCGCCGUUAUUUCAGUUCAGCCAUCCUUUCUUCGUUUCGGGUUGUGCAUCGAUGCUUGCGUGUCGUGCUCGGAGUUUGCAACUGCUUCAUUUCACUAGUUCAGUCUUUCUUUUCAGGUUACGGAUGACGAAGUUCGGAAGAGUUUAUUUCUUUUUUUUUAGAAGAUGUUUUUGUAU